UUUACUGUUCGCCAUAAAGUUUGUUUUCUACUUUUUUUAAUGUUCUUUUGUGACUGAAACAUCGCUAUUGCUCUGUUUUGACAAGAUAAGAUUGAACAAAUAGUUUAAAUAUUGUGUACAUGCAUAUAAGAAUCAACACUAAAUGAAAUACUAGAUUAACUUACGUGUCGGUGACGUAUCUUAUAGUUGACUUCGAUGUUGUCCUUAGUGAGUCGAGGUAAAAUACUGUAUCAUCAUAUGCAUUUAUGGCCAGCAGUGCCCAAUGACCCCUAAUUAUACAAAAUAUUAGUACUAGUUUUUUGCAAUGCAAGUAAUAAAAUAACUUGACUUACCCAGGAUUAAAAGGAGCAAGAACUAUUUCGUUAAUCUUUGAGACCAUCAAUCUACUGCAUAAGUUUCGAACUCGAGAUUCUUGCGAGUGUCCG
rnacentral:lncRNA from 1 species